AUGUUAUACCGCAUAAUAUCUGUGGAUUAAAGGUGGCUUAGGCUGCCGCAGAUGGAUGAGCCUGCGUUGGAUUAGCUAGUUGGUGGGGUAAGGGCCUACCAAGGCUACGAUCCAUAGCUGAUUUGAGAGGAUGAUCAGCCACAUUGGGACUGAGACACGGCCCAAACUCCUACGGGAGGCAGCAGUGGGGAAUAUUGGACAAUGGGGGAAACCCUGAUCCAGCAAUGCCAUGUGUGUGAAGAAGGCUCUAGGGUUGUAAAGCACUUUAGUUGGGGAGGAAAGCCUAUGAGUUAAUAGCUUGUAGGAAGGACGUUACCCAAAGAAUAAGGACCGGCUAACUCCGUGCCAGCAGCCGCGGUAAUACGGGGGGUCCGAGCGUUAAUCGGAAUUACUGGGCGUAAAGGGUCUGUAGGUGGUUUGUUAAGUCAGAUGUGAAAGCCCAGGGCUCAACCUUGGAACUGCAUUUGAUACUGGCAAACUAGAGUAUGGUAGAGGAAUGGGGAAUUUCUGGUGUAGCGGUGAAAUGCGUAGAGAUCAGAAGGAACACCAAUGGCGAAGGCAACAUUCUGGACCAAUACUGACACUGAGGGACGAAAGCGUGGGGAUCAAACAGGAUUAGAUACCCUGGUAGUCCACGCUGUAAACGAUGAGUACUAGCUGUUGGAUUCGGUGUAAAGGAUCUAGUGGCGCAGCUAACGCGUUAAGUACUCCGCCUGGGGACUACGGCCGCAAGGCUAAAACUCAAAGGAAUUGACGGGGACCCGCACAAGCGGUGGAGCAUGUGGUUUAAUUCGAUGCAACGCGAAGAACCUUACCUGGUCUUGACAUCCUGCGAACUUUCUAGAGAUAGAUUGGUGCCUUCGGGAACGCAGUGACAGGUGCUGCACGGCUGUCGUCAGCUCGUGUUGUGAAAUGUUGGGUUAAGUCCCGCAACGAGCGCAACCCCUAUUGAUAGUUACCAUCAUUAAGUUGGGUACUCUAUUGAGACUGCCGCUGACAAGGCGGAGGAAGGUGGGGACGACGUCAAGUCAUCAUGGCCCUUACGACCAGGGCUACACACGUGCUACAAUGGGUAUUACAGAGGGCUGCGAAAGGUGCGA
rnacentral:rRNA from 1 species